rnacentral:lncRNA from 1 species
UGGCGAAUGAAUGGUGUAUGGUGAUAACAAUGGUGAAAGUCUAAUUCUACUUUUGCUCUUUGAAGGGGAUACAUACCUUUCUUGCACUUUGAAGUUUUUUGAGGAGAAUGAGAUGCUCUAUAUUUUCUUUUUCUUUUCUCUCAGGUGGGUAUCUUGUACCCCCAAUUCUAUUGUCGGACACUUGUCCAUUUUUACCUCUCGUCUCACUUUUUCUUUUCUUCGAGGUUCCGGGCAAUUGCCCCUUUUUAUUUCCUCGUAUCUUUUUCCUUUUUUUCAAGG